rnacentral:rRNA from 1 species
UACGUAGGUGGCAAGCGUUGUCCGGAAUUAUUGGGCGUAAAGCGCGCGCAGGCGGUCCUUUAAGUCUGAUGUGAAAGCCCACGGCUCAACCGUGGAGGGUCAUUGGAAACUGGGGGACUUGAGUACAGAAGAGAAGAGUGGAAUUCCACGUGUAGCGGUGAAAUGCGUAGAGAUGUGGAGGAACACCAGUGGCGAAGGCGGCUCUCUGGACCGGUGCUGACGCUCAGGCGCGAAAGCGUGGGGAGCGAUCCGG